AACGAACGCUGGCGGCGUGCCUAACACAUGCAAGUCGCGCGAGAAAAGAGGGGCAACUCCCUGAGUAAAGCGGCGCACGGGUGAGUACCACGUAGGUGACCUACCCCCGAGUCCAGAAUAACCCGCCGAAAGGUGGGCUAAUGCCGGAUAUGACCACGGGAAUCUCGGUUCCCGCGGUGAAAGGUGGCCUCUGCUUGCAAGCUACCGCUCAAGGAUGGGCCUGCGCGCCAUUAGCUAGUUGGUGAGGUAACGGCUCACCAAGGCAAUGAGGGCUAGCUGGUCUGAGAGGAUGGCCAGACACACUGGGACUGAACCACGGCCCAGACUCCUACGGGAGGCAGCAGUGGGGAUAUUGCGCAAUGGGCGAAAGCCUGACGCAGCGACGCCGCGUGGGUGAUGAAGGCCUUCGGGUCGUAAAGCCCUGUCGAGUGGAAAGAAACGGUUCCGACCCAAUACGUCGGGACCCUGACGGUACCCCUAAAGGAAGCACCGGCUAACUCCGUGCCAGCCGCCGCAGUAACAC
rnacentral:rRNA from 1 species